GGGCCCGCACAAGCGGCGGCCGCAUGUGGAAUAAUUCGAUGCAACGCGAAGAACCUUACCUGGGCUUGACAUGCGCCAGACAUCCCCAGAGAUGGGGCUUCCCUUGUGGUUGGUGUACAGGUGGUGCAUGGCUGUCGUCAGCUCGUGUCGUGAGAUGUUGGGUUAAGUCCCGCAACGAGCGCAACCCUUAUCCUACGUUGCCAGCGCGUCAUGGCGGGGACUCGUGGGAGACUGCCGGGGUCAACUCGGAGGAAGGUGGGGAUGACGUCAAGUCAUCAUGCCCCUUAUGUCCAGGGCUUCACACAUGCUACAAUGGCUGGUACAGAGGGCUGCGAUACCGCGAGGUGGAGCGAAUCCCUUAAAGCCGGUCUCAGUUCGGAUCGCAGUCUGCAACUCGACUGCGUGAAGUCGGAGUCGCUAGUAAUCGCAGAUCAGCAACGCUGCGGUGAAUACGUUCCCGGGCCUUGUACACACCGCCCGUCACGUCAUGAAAGUCGGUAACACCCGAAGCCCAUGGCCC
rnacentral:rRNA from 1 species